rnacentral:rRNA from 1 species
GUCUAAAGCCGUACCACCCUGAACGUGCCCUAUCUCCUCUGAUCUGGGAAAGUGAGCAGGGUCGGGCCUGCUUAGUACUUGGAUGGGAGACCGCCUAGUAGCUAGGCGGUAUUUUGAUUU